GCGCGCUCAGUCCGCGGAAAGCGGCUGAACACACGCGAGAAAAGAUCUGCACGCGCCGAUCUAUCGCGCCGUCGUCGAAAAAUCGCGCAGUAAAUCGUGGUGCAGCCCUUGCGUGCGAUAUAUUCAAGGCGACCGCCGUUUGUUCUGUGAUGUGGAUCGUGCCGGAUCGUGGAAAGAGGCUGCGACGUUGAGUGAUCGCCGGACGAUGGAUGGACGAUGACCUCGAUCGAAGAUUGACCUUUCACGAUGUUGGAUCCGGUGCUGGGCAUAUCGUCGGUAUGGUGGCUGGUGAUGUACGCCAGUAUCCUGCUGCUGCUGUCGCCGUUGGUCUUGCUGUUCAUCCUCUUUCUACCGAACUUCCCGAUUCUGCUGUUCAGAAGGAUGUGCUACAUCCCCAUCGAGUCUAUAUGACGAACGAUCCACCGACCCGCGAUCAUCGUGGCCGUGACUCCCUUCGCACAGUAUCGGCGCUUCGACCAAAUGCAAAUCGUAGAAAUUCUAAGCAAAAGUAACCGGAUGCUUCUAAAGUCCUCGUAUUCUGGGACCGUACGAUAAAGAAUACGUUCGUGCCUCGAAGCACCGAUUGCGCGAAGGAGCACGGAAUUUCCGUGCGUCCGGUUUAUCGCAUUAAUCGCAACAGCGAAGAAGAGUAUUAUCUUUUAACACGUACGAAUCCGAAGUUUAUUAUGAAUUUAUUGCGCCGGAUAAUCGAGCGCCAGGGUUUCUUCUUCACCGGCGUCAACGAAGGAAUUAAUCCUUCGUUUGACCCGCGCGAGCGUACGACCGUUUAUGGGUCGUAAACGAGGCUCCGGGUAAUAACACCGGGGCCCCGAACAAUAGGAGCGGCUCGCGAAAGCCCGGGUCUUCUAAAGCGCAAUCAAAAGUACGCUUGUAAAACUUCGAGCUUAACGAUCCCAACGUUAACGGUCGUACGGUCGCUCGUCCCACCUAGUAUGUAAGUUAACCGUAUAAUUAGCGCACGGUCGGUCGAAACGUCGCGACCUCCCUCUACUCUAUUGUAUGCUAAACCAUGUACUCUGGAUUUCCCAAGAAUAUUGUUCGCCGAUUCGCGCGACCGCGGGGUUAUCGGGCCGCGUUUCCCCGAUAAGCUGUCAGCGAUUCGCGACCACUGCCAAGAUUCUGCCACUCCUGCGGCACGCGCGAAUAACCGAAUAAACAAAUGUCUAACGGGUUUUCUUUCCGCGAAACGAUAAAGAUCCGGCCUCGGAGCUCUUCAUCUCGAUCGCCCGCGGCGGCUUUCGUGUUCGCGCGAGCGCGCGCGCGCGCUUUGCUUUGUACAUAAAUAUCUUGUCGCAAUAAAACCGUGAUUGGCGAGACA